AAUAAACCAAUUUUUCACUUUUUAUCUAUAAUUUUUUACUCUUCGUCUUAUUCAAUUUUUUUCGAUUGAUAUUUUUUUGUUUUUAUUAGUUGAUAAAUCAUGAAUAGUAUUUUACGUGUGACUAAUUUUUUUCUAAUUUCCUAAAUAUUUUUUAAAUAAGACGGAUGGUCAAACGUUGGACAUGGAAACC
rnacentral:pre_miRNA from 1 species